rnacentral:rRNA from 1 species
AGCAGCCGCGGUAAUUCCAGCUCCAAUAGCGUAUAUUAAAGUUGUUGCAGUUAAAAAGCUCGUAGUUGAAUUUCGGGAUCAAUUUAUCGGUCGUGCCUACGGUAUGAACUGGUACAAUUGGUUUCUCCCUUCUGACGAAGCAUGAUGUCAUUAAUUUGGUGUCGUGGGGAAUCAGGACUGUUACUUUGAAAAAUUAGAGUGUUUAAAGCAAGCAUUAGCUUGAAUACAUUAGCAUGG